AAACAAGCCAAAAACCCACACAGGGUUUCAGGAGUCCUAAUAUUUCUACAUCUACUUGCUGCCUCACACCAUCACUCGAGAAAAAGAAUUUGUUCUUAAAUCUUGUCUAGAAAUGUGGCUGUAGACCAACUGAACUGGCUUCCGAGGUAAUGCAGUCCCCGGGAUUUUCAUCUGUGCGCACCAAGUCUAGCAUCUGCCCUGGCCAAGGAUGACAAGAGCAUCUCGCAGAUAAGAAGUCCUUGCUCUCUAGGAGCGCUGCUCUUGGUAGCUGCGCGGCGGGUGCUGGCACAUGGGCCUCGCUCUGCAGGCAGCCUGGGCGGCCGGGAAGCCCUGCUCUGUUGGUGUUUCAGCCUGCAAAGCGCUGCGUUAAAAGCCUCCUUGCGUUCAGGCUGCCUCUUAAGAGGGUAGUCGCUGCUUUUCCAUCUGAUUUGAGCAUCUUGUACAAGCACACGACAAGGCAAUUCCAAAGUCCCUCGUCUGCCUGUGGUUUGCUUCUGCUCGAAGAAAAAUGAUAAAAGUGGCCUGUUACCUUUCUGUUUAUAGUCAGAAAUUCUGCUUCGUGAGGCUGCCCGCUAAUUAUUUUCAGAAAACACAACUGAAGACUCAUGGUCCGAAUGGAAUAAAUGACUAAAAACCAAA